GUACUACUCCCUCCGUUCCAAAUUACUUGUCUUAGAUUUGUCUAGAUACGGAUGUAUCUAGCAAUAAAUGAGUCUAGAUACAUAUGUAUCUAGACAAAUUCAAGACAAGUAAUUCGGAACGGAGAUAGUACUAU
rfam:Triticum aestivum genome assembly, contig: Triticum_aestivum_CS42_TGACv1_scaffold_233886_3B